rfam:Myotis brandtii contig162328, whole genome shotgun sequence.
GGCAGUUCUCGGGUGAUGCACCCUGAAUCGGGCUCCCUCCUCUGGUUCCAGGUGUGUCACCCGAGAACUGCA